UAGAGCGAGACACUGUCUCACAAAAAUAAAUCAAUAAAAAAUAAAAAAAAAAAUUGCCAGAGUCUCCAGCCCUAUCCAGGACCUAAUGAAUCAGAAUCUGCUUUUAAUAAGAUUCUCUAGUGAUUCCUAUGCACAUUUAGGUUUGAGAAGCAUUGCUGUAGUGGUUGUGGGACUUGGAUAAGUCAGAUGGGUGUGGUUCUUGGAUGGAGGGACUCAGAGAAUAAAACUGUACUCUGAGGUAACAGUGGGUACAAUGACAGCGCAUGAAAAUGCAUGCAUGGCCGGAGCUGGUAGGCCGAGGCAGAUUACAAAAGGUUCUGUAGCCCUUUGGAUUGUGCCUUGUGGGAAGCCCCUGAUCAAUUUAACAAAGGAAUGCCUGACAAGAUCUGGGCUUGAGGAAGACAGCCUAGUGGUAAUAUGAAGGACCUGAAGGGUAACUUGGAAGUCAGGGGAGCAGACAGAAAGCUCUGAUACAAACCUAGAUGAAGAAUGAGGCUUUCUUGGCUGCAGGCAUCUCAGAGAGGAGAGGGAGAGAGAGAGAGAGAGACUCCACGGGGACUUGGUGACUGACUGGACAUGUGGAAUAGAGAGGACGAAGUGAGAGCUGAACUUGGAUGAGUGAUAAAUGGAGCUGCUUUAUCCAAAUCAGGAAUCCAGGAGAAUAAGCAGAUUUUAUGGGAAGGUACUGAGGUUGGCCUAGACAUGUUAAGUUUGAAAUAUCUCUGAGACAUUUGUUCGCCAGUUUCCCUACCUGCCAAAUGACAGUAAUGACAGUAUCCACCUCCACGGUAUUGGUGUAUUAAUAAUCAACUGAUAUAGUGUAUGUGAAUAUACUGUAUUAAUGUUUAAGUGUCACAUAUGUGUUACUAGCAUGACUCUUCCAUGUAUUUGUAAUCUGAAGGAGGGAGGCAGAAGAAAGGCUGAAGAUAUUGUCUGCAUUUGCAUAAAGGCAGUGUCAUAUAUCAAAUUCAUUAAGACAGGAAGUGCUGAAGGAAAAUGCAGAAGAGAAUGAAAGAUGUGGAUAGUCAAGUAAGAAAUACAACAAAUCAUCAAUUGGAAAUACACCCCAGCUGCUUCUAAGCAUAGUAAAUUGUCAAAGCUUUCCAUCAAGUUGAAGAAGACAGUCACAGUAAGACUUUGGAGAAAACACAUAUUGAAAAAUUCAACUGAACAAUUAGUAGAAGCAUUUCCUGUAUAUUAGAAACCCUGUCCAGAAUCACAUCUGCCUUGAAACAUAUAUGGCACAUAUUACAAAAGAACUGUUACAUUUCGAUUUUCAUCUGCAGACAAAUUUAAGGUUAAAAUGUAAUAUACUCUUAAAGGUGAUUGCUAGUUCAAACUUAUCAUUAGGCAUAUGGCUUCCUAACUCUUGAUUAUGUGUUUGGAAAAUUGCUAAGAAGUUUUCCAUCUGAUUGAUCAGAUGGUAUCUGAGUGUGAAAUGUAACUCUUUGAUGCAUGCUUUUCUUCUGGAAUUUGUAGAUAGUGCAGGAUACUUACAUUUAUUUUGCUUUUGUGAAGUAAGCAAAUAACCUGACUUUAAACCUCUGUAAGGCUAUUCAACUAAAUUCCAUAUAUAUAUCUAUUGAAGAUAUAUUAUUACAGCAAGGCAGUGCGGUAGGGCCUGUCUCUUCCCUCAGGUUGCUGAUAAUUUCAUGGCAGAGACACCUGUAAACAAGUCCUUAGGCAAGUGAGUGCUCACAGAAUUAUAAACAGGUUUGGGUAGUUCGGGGAGAGAAGUGAGGAAGAACAAUAGCUGCCAUCAGAUAUCAUAUAUUUGAAGUUUGAUGACUUUCUUUCAAGAAUAGAGUUCCUGACACUUAGUUUAGCUAGUUCUGGCCACGUUAUCUGCAGCUCCUUCCAUCAAGAGGCAGAGUCUAUUUGCCUGUCCCUUGGAUUUGGAGAGGCCCUCGCAAUUUGCUUUGAUCUGUAGAAUUUGGCGUAUAUGACCUUGUGUGACUCCCAAGGCUAGGCCUUAAGAAAUUUUACAGCUUCUGCCUGCUGUUUUCUGGAUGUUGCCCACAGACCAAAAACAUAGCCUACUGCAGGAUGAGAGGCCACAUGGAGCCGACGGCAGACGCAUGAGUGAGGCCACCUUGGAGUUUCAGCUCAGCUGAUUCUCCAGUUCAGGGAGCGGCAAACUACAGCCUGUAGGCCAUAGCCUGCUUUUGAGCUUUGGGUUUUUAAUAGCUUAUAAAAAAUAAAUAAGAAAUAAAUAAGAAGAAUAGUGACAGAGACAAACUCUAAAAUAUUUACUAUCUGAUCCUGUUUUACAGAAAAUUUGGCCAACCCCUGCUACAGCUGAAUGUAUCUGUAUGAAUGAGUCCAAUCAAAACCAGGGAGGAACCACAUAACCAACCUUCAGAAUUAUGAGAAAUACUAAAUUGACAUUUUUGCAAGCAACUAUAUUUUGGAAGAGUUUGCUCUGCAGCAAUAGAUGACUCAAGCACAAGCUGAUAAAUGCUACACAAAGAAAAAGGAGACUGCUUCAAAGGAAAUAAUCUCGUAAGGUUUUGGACCUUUUUGUCUCACUUCAUUUAGGAGAAUUUCUUACCCCAAUCUGUUGUCUAUGGCUCUGCUUUGCAUUCCAGGGAGGUUUUGGCAGCUAUGAGCACAUAUACCUGCUGGUUACUCAAAGGACAUUCAAAACAUUUUUAAAAUCAGUAUUGAAAUACAACUUUUCUAAAAUUUUAAGAAACAGAAUUUGUAAAAUAUAAUAUUAACGCCCUAAAGCAUUCUUCCAAAUAAGAGGUCUAUUUUUUCAGUAUAUUAAUCUAUCUGCAGUGAAACCUGUCUAGUUUUGUUAUUAAUGGACCUUGACUUAGUGAGGUGAACUGUCAGCCCAGGUGGGGUGAAGAAUGGUUGUGAUAAAGGCGUGCAGCAGGGCAGCAAUCACUUUACUCUCUGCAAAGGACACCAGCUACCGGCCAAGGCUGGAACCAGGAAAACAAUCUCAACCAUAAUUUAGAUCUGAUUAUUAUAAUUUAGAUCUGAUUAUUUAUGCAGUGCCAACUAAGUCCUUGACUUACACUGCUACUAUCUAUACUUACUUUUGUUGCACACCCAUUUUGAUCUCUAUAUUCACCCUUAUUAUUUUCAGAGAACCUUCAAACUAUCAUAAGUAAUUUUGCAGAAAAAGGCUAUAAGGAAGAAGCAGUCAGGCCAAAGAAUAAACAAAAAGAAAUGGUGGGCCACGUUUACAGUCUUGAUGCAAAUGUGUGGGUUACAAUCAGGGAUGGUGCUCACGGCUGGGCGUGGUAGUGGUUAAAUACGUGAUUCAGACCCACCUGAUUUUGAGGAAAGGACCAGUACAAUCAAUACUGCACAUCUUGGUAAAAGGAGUUUGAGGAGAUGGAUCUGAGAGUUUAGGUCAGCUAUGCUUAGGUGUACAAAAGCAACUCCCUGGGACUCCCAUCCAUACACAGGUCAUUGAAACCUGACGUGUCUCUCUUACCCCCAACUCCAUUUCCCAUCGAUUCCAGAAGAAGUACGGGCAUUUCUUCUGAGACAGCAAAGAACUCCUCCUAAGGUUUCUGCUUUACUAAUUAGUUAUGUAUGAAGUUUAACAAGAAAAUCCCUCCAGGGCCGCCUCCAGGCCAAGGAUCUUAAACAGAAAUGCUAGCUUGAUGUCUGCCACUAAGUUGUGUAAUCUUGGCCAGCAUCAGCUAAAGGCACACAUAACACGGCCGUGCUCGGAAUGCAAGAUGACCGCGAGGAUCCAGAGGGCGCGCCACGCAAGCUCACAGGGCUGGGGGCCACCUGGGCCCGCGCGUGCAGCCAGGGGCUUCCGGCCGCGGCCCCGGCGCGUGGUCUGCGCGCGCCCGGCCGUGCGUGCGGCUGCGGGGAGGCUGCGUGUUUGCGCAGAGCGGGAGCGCAGUCCACCUUCCCGCUUCCGAGCUGGGUGCGUGCCGAGCACAGGAGUUUGCGUUUAGGAGGUGGCUGUGUUGUCGGAAAAGCUGUCAAGGAAGAAAUUGCCAAACCAUGUCUUUUUUUCUGUUUUCAGAGUAAUUCACAGCAGAUCUGAGUGUUUAAAUUAUGGAAUACAGAAAACAACAAAAAACUUAAAUUUCAUCUGGAAUUCCACAGAACUUUCAACUCGCGUGCU